UACGUAGGGGGCUAGCGUUGUCCGGAUUUAUUGGGCGUAAAGAGCGUGUAGGCGGCCAGGUAGGUCUGCUGUGAAAACUCGAGGCUCAACCUCGAGAUGUCGGCGGAAACCAUCUGGCUAGAGUCCGGAAGAGGAGAGUGGAAUUCCUGGAUGUAGCGGUGAAAUGCGCAGAUAUCAGGAGGAACACCGGUGGCGAAGGCGGAUCUCUGGGCCAUUACUGACGCUGAGGAGCGAAAGCGUGGGGAGCGAACAGG
rnacentral:rRNA from 1 species